GUCCUGGCAGGAGCUCUGGUAUCUGGGAAGCUGGAUGGAGAGCCUGGAUUGGAGCCCACCCUCUGCAACCUAGCUUUGUGACCUUGGCAAAUCCAUUCUAUGCACCUCUGUUUCCUGUACAGUGGGGACCUGAUUUAUCUGGCAACCUCCACCAGAUUGAUGGAGUUUUGCUCUUGUUGCCCAGGCUGGAGUGCAGUGGCGAAAUCUUGGCUCACCGCAACCCCGGAUUCCCAGGUUCAAGGCAUUCUCUCACCUCAGCCUCCUGAGUAGUUGGGAUUACAGGCAUGCACCACCAUGCCUGGCUAAUUUUGUAUUUUUAGUAGAGAUGGGAUUUCUCCACCUCGAUCAGGCUUGUCUCAAACUCGCGACCUCAGAUGAUCCGCCUGCCUCGGCCUCCCAGCAGUGAGCCACUGUGGCUGUCGAGAUUUAAUGUUUUAAAAAUCAGAGUCCCCCAGCUGCAGUGCCACAUGGGAAGGAGGCCUGGGCGUGAAUGUUCCUGGGAGCUAAGAGCACCUGUGACUGCCACCAGUUUCCCGUGGUCUCCCCCAGACUUGGGACCUCUCCCUCUGCACCAGGACACCUCAGGACCACCAGAGGGCACUCAUCGAAACUUCACCCCUGGAAGCCGUGCCGCCCGCCCACUCCGCGGCGCCUUUGUACCGCGCCGCCACCGCCCCAAGCUCGAAGCCAGUCGCACCGAAGACACCCAGGUCCGGCUGGCCCUGGCGCUUCAAAGCUGCCCGGCGCGUGCCAGAGCCUGCCGCCUGGACUCAGCCCCCGCAGCCCUUCCAAGCCCGGGUCGGCCCGGAUCUGGCCCGCAGGCCCUGCGGCCGGACUGGAGAGCGCCCCAGAGCUGCUGUUGCCGCUGCCUUGGCCUGAAAGGGGGAGGGCGGGGCGCGAUUCUCCACGCUGCUUGA
rnacentral:lncRNA from 1 species